rnacentral:rRNA from 1 species
AGUGAACGCUGGCGGUAGGCCUAACACAUGCAAGUCGAACGGAAGCACAGUAAGAGCUUGCUCUUACGGGUGGCGAGUGGCGGACGGGUGCGGAAUACAUCGGAAUCUACUUUUUCGUGGGGGAUAACGUAGGGACACUUACGCUAAUACCGCAUACGACCUACGGGUGAAAGCAGGGGAUCUUCGGACCUUGCGCGAUUGAAUGAGCCGAGGUCGGAUUAGCUAGUUGGUGGGGUAAAGGCCCACCAAGGCGACGAUCCGUAGCUGGUCUGAGAGGAUGAUCAGCCACACUGGAACUGAGACACGGUCCAGACUCCUACGGGAGGCAGCAGUGGGGAAUAUUGGACAAUGGGCGCAAGCCUGAUCCAGCCAUGCCGCGUGUGUGAAGAAGGCCUUCGGGUUGUAAAGCCCUUUUAUUGGGAAAGAAAAGCAGCAGGUUAAUACCCCGCUGUUCUGACGGUACCCAAAGAAUAAGCACCGGCUAACUUCGUG